rnacentral:lncRNA from 1 species
GGAUAACAACAGGAGGCAGUCUCCACCCUGAUCCUCCCACUGGGUCCUGGGCGUGAAGGUGGGAGUUAGCAGUGUGGGGUAAGUCCACAGGCAUUUGGAGCAGAUGUGCUGCUGUAGGCAAAAAAGUGAGGAACGGUGGGAAGAGAGACUACAUAGACCCGGGUUCAAAUCUCAGCUCUGCUGGUCUCAAGCUGAAUGAUUGGGCAAGUAACUUAACUUUUUUUUCUUUCCUUUCUUUCUCUCUUUCUCUCCUUCUCUCCUUCCCUCCCUCCCUCCCUCCCUCUCUUCCUUCCUUCCUUCCUUCCUUCCUUCCUUCCUUCCUUCCUUCCUUCCUUCCUUCCUUUCUUCCUUUCUCUU